AUGGCCGUGAGCAACAACAUCACGGCGUGCCUCAACUUCCUGGCCCUAAUCUGCACCAUCCCGGUGGUGGCCACGGGCCUCUGGUUCGCCUCCAAGCAGGGCGCCGAGUGCGCGCGGCUGGCGCGCUGGCCCGUGGCCAUCCUCGGCGUGCUCCUCCUCCUCGUCGCCCUCGCGGGCUUCGUCGGCGCCUACUGGAACCGCCAGGGCCUGCUGGCCGCCUACCUCUUCGCCAUGGCGGCCCUCAUCACGCUCCUCCUGGCGCUCCUCGUCUUCGCCUUCGCCGUCACCCACGGCUCCGGGGCGUACGACGUGCCCGGCCGCGCCUACCGCGAGUACCGCCUCGAGGGCUUCUCUGGCUGGCUGCGCGGGUAUGUUGCUGGGGAUCCCCGGCGGUGGGAGGGGAUCAGGGCGUGCCUCGUCGCGUCGGACACCUGCAAGAAGCUCACCAUGGAGACCGCCUUCUUCAUCGCCCCCGAGCAGUUCUACCAGUCCGACCUCUCCCCGCUCCAGUCCGGCUGCUGCAAGCCGCCGACGGCGUGCGGGUACGCGUACGUGUCCCCGACGGUGUGGGCCAGCCCGGCAAACCCGGCGGCGGACGCGGACUGCGGCGCCUGGAGCAACGACCCGCGGCAGCUCUGCUACUGGUGCGAAUCCUGCAAGGCCGGCAUGCUGGGCACCCUGCGCGACCAGUGGCGCCGGGCCAACGUGGCGCUCGUCGCCGCCACCGUCGCGCUCCUCGUCGUCUACGUCAUCGGCUGCAGCGCCUUCAAGAACGCCCAGACCGAGGACCUCUUCCGCCGCUACAAGUGGAGCAACAACACCUGA
rnacentral:rRNA from 1 species